AUGGAUCAUUAUCAAAAACAAUGCUCCUUUGCAUCUCCUCAUUUCGUGAAUUUUAAACAACUCAACUCAACUCAAAAAAAAACCCGCAACUUCUCGUACUUCGCAAGAAGCUGAGUAACCGCAUAAUUUUCAAUUUGUCAUAUUCUGUUGCAUGAAAAUGGGCAGAAUUAAAACCAAUGUACAACUCUUAGCAAUGGAUGUCUUGGUUCCC
rnacentral:misc_RNA from 1 species